rnacentral:rRNA from 1 species
UAAUACGGAAGGUCCAAGCGUUAAUCGGAAUUACUGGGCGUAAAGCGCGCGUAGGUGGUUUAUUAAGUUGGAUGUGAAAUCCCCGGGCUCAACCUGGGAACUGCAUCCAAAACUGAUUCACUAGAGUACGAUAGAGGGAGGUAGAAUUCACAGUGUAGCGGUGGAAUGCGUAGAUAUUGUGAAGAAUACCAAUGGCGAAGGCAGCCUCCUGGAUCUGUACUGACACUGAGGCGCGAAAGCGUGGGUAGCGAACAGGAUUAGAUACCCUGGUAGUCCACGCCGUAAACGAUGUCAACUAGCUGUUGGAAAGCUAUGCUUUUCAGUGGCGCAGCUAACGUAGUAAGUUGACCGCCUGGGGAGUACGGCCGCAAGGUUA